rnacentral:rRNA from 1 species
AUUGAACGCUGGCGGCAGGCCUAACACAUGCAAGUCGAACGGUAACAGAAAGCAGCUUGCUGCUUUGCUGACGAGUGGCGGACGGGUGAGUAAUGUCUGGGAAACUGCCUGAUGGAGGGGGAUAACUACUGGAAACGGUAGCUAAUACCGCAUAACGUCGCAAGACCAAAGAGGGGGACCUCCGGGCCUCUUGCCAUCGGAUGUGCCCAGAUGGGAUUAGCUAGUAGGUGGGGUAACGGCUCACCUAGGCGACGAUCCCUAGCUGGUCUGAGAGGAUGACCAGCCACACUGGAACUGAGACACGGUCCAGACUCCUACGGGAGGCAGCAGUGGGGAAUAUUGCACAAUGGGCGCAAGCCUGAUGCAGCCAUGCCGCGUGUAUGAAGAAGGCCUUCGGGUUGUAAAGUACUUUCAGCGGGGAGGAAGGGAGUAAAGUUAAUACCUUUGCUCAUUGACGUUACCCGCAGAAGAAGCACCGGCUAACUCCGUG